AUACGGAGGGUGCGAGCGUUAAUCGGAAUUACUGGGCGUAAAGGGUGCGUAGGCGGCUUGAUAAGUCGGAUGUGAAAGCCCCGGGCUUAACCUGGGAAUUGCAUUCGAUACUGUCAGGCUAGAGGAUGUCAGAGGUUGGCGGAAUUCCUAGUGUAGCGGUGAAAUGCGUAGAUAUCAGGAGGAACACCAGUGGCGAAGGCGGCUAACUGGGGCAAUACUGACGCUGAGGCACGAAAGCGUGGGGAGCAAACAGGAUUAGAAACCCCAGUAGUCC
rnacentral:rRNA from 1 species